AGAGAGAAGCACAUAUAGAAAUGGAGAUAUCCUUCAACAGAAAGCCAGAAUACAGGAGCAUGCUGGAACAUCAUAGAGCUCCAAAAUAUUGUCUCAGGUUAUUCUAAUUUCAUCUUUCAGGAAGAUUGAAACUGAACUCUUGAAAAAAAACAACAAUAUGGAAAUCCAUCAAGAAGCCAAUGUAUAAUGAUAAAUUCAAUUUUCUUUCUGAAGGAAUAAACUCUAUGCUAUAUCAGCUGUACUUUACACACUGUAUAUUUCCAUUAAUUUACAAAGUUUUACAACUGUGAGCUGACAAAAAAAGAAAAGGAAAAAACUAAAACAACAAACCAAAAGAUAUGAGUGUAACUAGCAAAUUACAAUAAUUAAUAUGGGGAAGAUGUGAUCUUACUUUUCUCUGUAUUGUAUCCCUGAAUCUUCAGAAUUUUGUGUAAAAGUAAAAAGAUCCAAAAGACUGCACAGACUGUGUACUGAGGGCUCACAAAUUAUAUUUGUGGUGCCUUCCAAA